UCAUCAUUCAGUUCAGAAUUCAGAUUGAAAUUCAAGAUUCAAAUUUAGAAUUAAAAUCUUGAAUUCACAAUUAUGAAUGCAAUUUGAAAUUCACGAUUCAUAAUGUACAUAUUAAUAAACUAAGAUUUACAUGUGGGAUGCCAUAACGACCGAUUUGAACGAGUAAUUACUCGAAGCAUCUAUAAGCCAUUAGGACGCCCCUCGGCGAUAAGUCAAAACUUAUGUAAGACCCUUCACACACACCGACACGCACUUGUCAUUCAUCGUCGCGUCGGAAUCCAUCGCGGGUCGGCAUCAACCAAUGUCAUCGUGGUGCGGAGCGAACGGGAAACCCUUAGGCGCCGUGUCUGUAAAACGUCGGGUUCCGUUUCCGGUUCUAUUUCUGCGGGGAAAUACUCUUCGUUUCGAGUUUUACAGUGUCCUGGAGAUUCAGGUAACAAACGCGUCUUUCGUGCGAACAACCUCGCGGGUCAAACCAGUGUGCAUAAUGAUGCUAAGAUACUCCGCUCGAAUGUACGUUUGAUUGUAACAUUCAUUAUUGUGUAACAUCCGGAUGAUUCCCACAGGAAAUUACAUUCUAAGCCGCACAUAACGGACGUAAUUUUACGCUGACAACGGUGGACAGUCUUCCGGUAAUUGUUCCGGAUAAGUGAAUUCAAAUUUUGUGACAUGUUCGUUCAACAACACAAAGCAGGAAAACGAGACUCAUUAGACGGACGGCAAGGGUGUCAGCUGUCUUGGAUCGCUACGUGUUGCUUGUGUCCGAUGAUGACCAAAUCGAAAUUACAUUCUAAGCCGCACAAUAAUGGACGUAAUUUUACGCUGACAACGGUGGACAUUCAAUUAUGACGUGCGUUCUUACAGUCUUCUGGUAAUUGUUCCGGAUAAGUGAAUUCAAAUUUUGUGACAUAUUCGUUCAACAACACAAAGGAGGAAAACGUACAAGGGUGCAAGGGUGUCAGCUGUCUUGAAUCGCUACGUGUUGCCUGUGUCCGAUGAUGACCAAAUCGCUGGCAGCCUCCAUUUAUUUCACUUCGAAUUGGCGCUGAAAGUUGUCUACAUUUUAUUCUUGUAAAUAACGGUGAAAUAGAUACAAAAAGAAAAGUACCAGUGCGUGGAAAGUCGAUUGUUGGUGCCUUAACUAUUGUUGGUGCCUUAACUAUUGUUGGUGCCUUAACUAUUGUUGGUGCGUAUAAGAUUUUGAAAAAAAAAUCGUUGAAAAAAUAAACCAUUUGAAAAUGUCGUCUGCCGGAAAAUAUGUUCGGGCCCCUAAAUCCAACAGCGAUCCCGAAGAAUACGGCGAAAUGUAUGGCGAGUGGUCGUCAGAUGACAUGGAGUUUGAAGAACGUGAAAUUCCAAUAAACGAGAAACGUGAAUAUAAAAAAAGUGAAAACCAGGAAUACAUCCAGAAGAUAGAAAAACUGCAGAAUACUAUAGAUAAAUUAGUUAAAGAGAUGAACACUUAUCGCUCUCGUGAAGAUGACGAGUCGGUCAGAAGUUCUGCGCUUUCUGAUGAAGAUCUAAGCUGGAACAAUGCGAAGGUCAAUCCAGGUUCAUCAGCAAACUCUGGUAGUAUUCGAUGGGAAAAUAUAAAACCUUUCCCAAACGAUGUUCCGGCAAACGCUAUGUGGGAACAAUGGAACAGGUUUAUCGAUCGGUUUGAGAUCGCUACUUCCUUGGCAAAUGUGACGGACCCUGUCAAGCGCGCUCAGACAUUGUUCCUUUCGAUGGGAGAGAAACUCCAAGGAAUUACCAGGGCUGCGAGACUUCGCCCAAGUCUGACCGAACCAAACUGCUACAACCUAUUUGUCAAAAACAUCGAAAAAUAUCUGCAAUCAAUGGUCGACGUAACGGCGGAACAUGAAAUGUUUUCCAAUCUCCAACAAGGCAUUGAUGAACCAACUAUUGCCUUCCAUGCACGUCUUUUGGAAAAAGUGCGUCUCUGUCGUUAUAGUCAAACGGAUCAGGAUCGAUUCAUUCGAAUGCAACUACUUAAAGGAAUGCGUAACCGUGAGGUGGCAAAGGCGGCGAGAAUUUUUGGCUAUGAGACGACUUUUAUUGUACAGUCUGCGACUCGAGAAGAGGCAUACAUUCCGAAACCGUCACGAGUAGCUGAAUCCAGCAGAGCAUUCGUGGUGUCGCGAGAACGGAAUCGGUUCAGUGGAAAUAAACACCUGCCAAAACGCCGAUAUAAUGAUGCGGGCUGGAAUUACCCGGAAAGGUAUCGACAAGAAAGCGAGAACCAUUUUUCCGGAGAAGGAAAACGUUUUCGCUGCAAUAGGUGUAACCGUUUGUUCCACAAAUCUGGAACUUGUCCGGCAACUAAUGAGGAGUGUCGUACUUGUGGAAAUCCUGGACAUUACGCGGCAACGUGCAGGGAAAGAAAUGCCACGUACAUUCAGAAAAGGCAAAGCUCCAUUAAGGAAAGAUCGGGUGAAAAAGAUAAGCAUAGGUUCAUCGGAGCCAAUUUGUUUCCUACACGCAAAAGAAUUUAGAAAUUAAUUUGUGUGUUCUGUAGAAAAUACUUUACUUCCCUAUAACUCAUUAAUUUCACGUAAAAUCAAAGUGAACGCACACACCCAUAUUUUUAUUUUUUUUAAAGCGUGCGCUCACGCACACAAAUAAACAUUCGAUCCUUUCGUGGAAUAAAAUCAUUCAGUGCUAAAAAUUUUAUUUGUCGCCGUUCUUUCUUCCGCGACAGCAAGUGCUGUUCGUCUCCGGAUUGAAGAAAUCAUUCAAAGCGGGACUCAAAGUGAAACAGCAGAAGCACGAAUAUUUCCACCGUGGGAAUUCCUGUGUUUCCUGCCUUCCGUAUUAAACAUCCAGAGGACCAUUCGACGAAUGGAGAAUCACACCACUCGAAUCAAUCGACAGGUGCCAUCUCGGCUGAGCUGGAAACCUAGUUCAGUAGCAACAGCUGCUGUUUCAGCAGAAGUUGAAAAUUCAUCAGUGUCACUUCUCUGCAAUACACUCAGCAGCAGCAACCACAAAAGCAAAAAAAAAGAUACAUCCGCAACAAUGGAAUACGCAGCCAAAUUACCCUCGUCUUACCACAGUCAGCUAGAGAUAGUUCCGGAAGGAGAGAUAUCACAGCUGUCCGGCAGGAAUCGGCUUCCGUCGCUGUCCGCAGGUUGAACAAAUUAUCACCAUCCCCGUUCCUAGAUUCAAUAUUCAGUAUAUGACAAGUGGCAAUGUUGCUGAAAAUCUGCUGCGAUAAAACGAUGGCUACGACACCUAUUAGACGGAGUCCAACCUUUGAUUCCAUCGGAAAAUAUAGCAAGGUCGAAGACUGGAUUCGAGGAAGGUAUGAUGCUUAAGUUGCUUAUCUGCUAAACCAUUCGUCGUCCUGAGUAGCAACGGAUACUUCGGUACUCAAGUUUUCGUACAUCAUAAUCUACAUCGUUCGUACUAUGUGUUGUGGAUAAGCCUGUCAUCGAACACGUCAUCGACAAGCUGUUCAAUCUCACUGAAAGUCGGCGAGGGUGUCAGCUGUCUUGAAUCGCUACGUGUUGCCUGUGUCCGAUGAUGACCAAAUCGCUGGCAGCUUCCAUUUAUUUCAUUUCGAGUUGACGCUGAAAGUUGUCUACAUUCUAUUCCGGUGAAAUAGAUUCAAAAAGAAAAGUGUCAGUGCGUGGAAAGUCGAUUGUUGGUGCCUUAACGAUUGUUGCUGCGUAUAAGGUACGUAAAUUAACUUUUUAUUAUGCAACAAUCCGAUUCAAUUCUUUCGAAUUUAGUUCAGUUAUUUAGUUAAUAUAUAAGGAUUUGAGGUCCAGAUUCAAUUUCCUAUUAAGAUUUUCUAGUUGUUUCUUAUGAACUAUGUUCAAAUCAUUGAGGCACUAGGAUCAGAGUGGCUGAUUAUGUUACUCGCAUCUCUCCGGCACCAUACCUUUUUGGGUUUUUUUUUAUUAGGUCGUGUAUGUACUUUUUAUAUACGAUCGAAAAAAAUUGUUAAUUAUAAAGCACCAACUUUUUUUUUUUUAUUUCAAGGAAUUAAUAGCAAGCUGUCAUUCUUCCCCAAAAAAAAAAAAAUAGUGCCAAUAAUUUUGGAUUCUCCUCUUGUUCAUCCCAGCUUUACCCUACGGCACUGUCGAGAUCUUGGCUGUAAUUUUUGAUUAUGAUUAUGACUUAAAAAGCAAUCAACAAUAUAUCAAUGAAAUAUGAUCGAAUUCUUUGAACAGCUAUUUUUAAGAAUCCUUAAUAAAGAAGAUUUUUUGCAAUUUUCAAAAACGCGGGAAACCAAGCUGUUUUAACGAAUUUUGUGUUCAAUUUAAAUAAUUGAUAUUAUCAUCAUUAACAAGACUGGUAACUUUUAGUCAAUUUCAUUUGAUCCUCAAUAACGUCUAGUAGUCAAUGUCAUCGAAAGUAGUCAGGCGGGAAUGUAAACUUUUCAUGACAUUGUUGUUCUCCACUCGCAUAACACACUGUUAUCUUUCUAUUUUGUUUUCUGGUUGUGUUAGGAUGGAUUUUACGUUAUUUGUGGAGCAACAGUUGUAAAAAUGACUCUGCUGCAAUGAUAUAGGAUUUGUCUAUGAAUCAUGUGACCAACAUAUAUUUGUGAAUGUGAAGUGUUUGUGAAUAUCGUUUCUUAAGUUUUUUCCCUUAGAUCUUAGCUUUUUUUGCCUUGAAAGCAUAGGAGAUGAAAAGCUCCAAUUUGAGAAAAAAUAGCUUAAAUGUGAGAGAUGCACACACGGAUUCUAUAUCAUUGCAGGAGCCUGUCGAAAUGUAAUCCAUGACCGUAAGAAGCUAAAUUUAUAGCAAGAAAACUGAUAUUCGUUCAAAUUGGUCAUGACAUUGUUAGCUUAUGUCGCUGAACAAAAAUCAUUAUCACAUGACAUAGAUAUGCAAAGCAGUAUCAAAGUCGACUGAUAUUGGUUGGCUGACACUAACCAUUCGCAGCUCUGUUCAUAAAGUAUGUUGCAAUGUUCUCCGUUUUUCUUUAACAAAUAUUUUACGGCAUCCUUGUUUAAAGCGUUGUUCAAUUCAAUUCCUUUUACCGUAAACAAACUUUUUCAAGAGCUUAAUAUUAUUUUCAGGUUUAUGUACAACAUGAACACUUUACGUGGUUAUUUGAAAAAGUCAGUAUCUGAAGCCAAGCCGUCUUUUGAAAAAAUCGACGACAAUAAAACUCAGAUUGGGCUGGAAAACGAUCAAAAGAAACAGGAUGUAAACAAACGUAAGAAACGUCGUAGUUGAGCUGCCUAUAGCUCUCUGGAUGACAGCAAAACAUUAAACCAAGAUUCGAAAACAACGGAUUGCAUUAUAUAUCUAAAAUUUAUAUGAUUUGAAGUAAUAGGCAUCUCUUAAAAAAAUUAUAGUUCUUGGGUACAUUUUGAACUAUACACCACUGUACAAGCUAUAAGACAGAAAUAGCUCAGAUCCCCACUCACAAUUCAACAAAAUAAUUUCCGCGUUUAAU